rnacentral:rRNA from 1 species
UUUGAGAGUUUGAUCCUAGCUCAGGAUGAACGCUGGCGGCGUGGAUAAGGCAUGCAAGUCGAACGAUCCAUUUUUUGAACAAGAUGAGAUUACAUCAAAUUAAGGGAAGAAAAUGGAUAGUGGCGAACGAGUUAGUAAUACCUUGGUACAUACCCUAAAGUGGAACAUAAUUCGUCGAAAGGCGGACUAAUUUUCCAUAGUAUCCGAUGCAACAUUCGGAUUAAAGUCGCAAGACGCUUUAGGAAUGGCCUGGGCCCGAUCAGCUAGUUGGUGAGGUAAUGGCUCACCAAGGCUAUGACCGGUAGGGGGGGUGAGAGCCUGUUCCCCAACGACGGAACUGAGACACGGUCCGUACACCUACGGGUGGCAGCAGCCGAGAAUAUUCCACAAUGGGCGAAAGCCUGAUGGAGCGACGCCGCGUGCAGGAUGAAGGCCUUCGGGUUGUAAACUGCUUUUAACUGGGAAGAAGUCGCNNNNNNNNNNNNNNNNNNNNNNNNNNNNNNNNNNNNNNNNNNNNNNNNNNNNNNNNGACUGACGGUACCAGUUGAAUAAGGGGUUGCUAACUCUGUGCCAGCAGCAGCGGUAAUACAGAGACCCCGAGCGUUAUCCGGAUUUAUUGGGCGUAAAGAGCGUGUAGGGAGAUUGAUGUGUCUGAAGUUAAAUCUCAGGGCCUAACCCUGAGCCUGCUUCGGAAACUAUCAAACUAGAGGGCGUUAGAGGCAGAUGGAACAGCCGGUGUAGGGGUGAAAUCCGUUGAUAUCGGCUGGAACACCAAAGGCGAAGGCAUUCUGCUGGGACGUUCCUGACCCUGAGACGCGAAAGCGUGGGCAGCAAAAAGGAUUAGAUACCCUUGUAGUCCACGCCCUAAACGAUGUCCGCUAGCUGUUUCGAGUAUCGACCCUCGGAGUGGCGAAGCUAACGCGUUAAGCGGACCGCCUGGGAAGUACGGUCGCAAGACUAAAACUCAAAGGAAUAGACGGGGACCCGCACAAGCGGUGGAGCAUGAGGUUUAAUUCGAUGGUACACGAGAAACCUUACCAGGGUUUGAAAUGUUGGCGAAAGCUGUUUGAAAGGACAGCUGUCUCACAAGGACGCCAGCACAGGUGCUGCAUGGUUGUCGUCAGCUCGUGGUUUGAAUUGUUCCCUUAAGUGGGGUAACGAGCGCAACCCCUGUUGUCUGUUAUAAGUGUCAGACGAGACUGCCGUGUUUACACGGAGGAAGGCGGGGAUGACGUCAAAUCCGCAUGGCCCUCUGAUACCCUGGGCCACACUCAUGCUACAAUGGCCGAUACAAAGGGUUUGCCAAAGCGCAAGCUGGAGCUAAUCUCAGAAAAUCGGCCCCAGUUCGGAUUGAGGGCUGAAACUCGCCCUCAUGAAGCCGGAAUCGCUAGUAAUCGCGCAUCAGCUAUGGCGCGGUGAAUACGUUCUCGGGUCCUGUACUCACCGCCCGUCACGCCAAGGGAGCCGGGAGAAGGUGAACCCCGACAUUGCGUCGGAGCAGCCUUAGCUCGGUGACAUGGGCGAAGUCGUAACAAGGCACGCGUAGCGGAAGCUGUGCGUGAAUCAA